rnacentral:rRNA from 1 species
ACGUACGCUGGCGGCACGCCUAACACAUGCAAGUCGAACGAAGUAGCAAUACUUAGUGGCAGACGGGUGAGUAACAUGUAGGUAUCUGCCCUUUGGCCUGGAAUAACACGAGGAAACUUGUGCUAAUACCGGAUAAGUCUUUACGGAGAAAGCUUUAUGCACCAUUGGAUGAGCCUGCACUUGAUUAGUUUGUUGGUAGGGUAAUGGCCUACCAAGACUGUGAUCAAUAGCUGAUUUGAGAGGAUGAUCAGCCACAUUGGGACUGAGACACGGCCCAAACUCCUACGGGAGGCAGCAGUGGGGAAUCUUGCACAAUGGAGGAAACUCUGAUGCAGCGAUGCCGCGUGAGUGAAGAAGGCCCUUGGGUUGUAAAGCUCUUUCGUCGGGGAAGAAAAUGACUGUACCCGAAUAAGAAGGUCCGGCUAACUUCGUGCCAGCAGCCGCGGUAAUACGAAGGGACCUAGCGUAGUUCGGAAUUACUGGGCUUAAAGAGUUCGUAGGUUGUUGAAAUAGUUGGUGGUGAAAUCCCAGAGCUCAACUCUGGAACUGCCAUCAAAACUUUUCAGCUAGAGUAUGAUAGAGGAAAGCAGAAUUUCUAGUGUAGAGGUGAAAUUCGUAGAUAUUAGAAAGAAUACCAAUUGCGAAGGCAGCUUUCUGGAUCAUUACUGACACUGAGGAACGAAAGCAUGGGUAGCGAAGAGGAUUAGAUACCCUCGUAGUCCAUGCCGUAAACGAUGUGUGUUAGAUGUUGGAAAUUUAUUUUCAGUGUCGCAGGGAAACCGAUAAACACACCGCCUGGGGAGUACGACCGCAAGGUUA